rnacentral:rRNA from 1 species
GGGGAAUAUUGGGCAAUGGGCGAAAGCCUGACCCAGCAACGCCGCGUGAAGGAAGAAGGCCUUCGGGUUGUAAACUUCUUUUAAGAGGGACGAAGAAGUGACGGUACCUCUUGAAUAAGCCACGGCUAACUACGUGCCAGCAGCCGCGGUAAUACGUAGGUGGCGAGCGUUAUCCGGAUUUACUGGGUGUAAAGGGCGCGUAGGCGGGAAUGCAAGUCAGAUGUGAAAUCCAGGGGCUUAACCCUUGAACUGCAUUUGAAACUGUAUUUCUUGAGUGUCGGAGAGGUUGACGGAAUUCCUAGUGUAGCGGUGAAAUGCGUAGAUAUUAGGAGGAACACCAGUGGCGAAGGCGGUCAACUGGACGAUAACUGACGCUGAGGCGCGAAAGCGUGGGGAGCAAAC